rnacentral:lncRNA from 1 species
AAACCCCAUCUAUACUGAGUUUUUGAUAUUUUUUUCUGUGAUUUGAAUUUAAAAAAAGAUAAAACUUUCGAUAAGUUAUGUAAACUCAGAACAAGUAUUUAGCUUUAGAAAACAUUUACAUGUUUCAAACUUAUAAUAUAUACAUAUAUAAUGUUUAAAAUUAUGCAGAUAAAACCUGUGUAAAAUGUGUCUGAAUAUGUUUCUCUUCUUUAAUGUGUUAAUCGUACUAUAUAUAACAUUAUUUUAAAAUUUCAAAAAGUUUAUGUCACAUACAAAAAACCAUCAAUAAAAAAUAUAAUUUUCCAUCUACAACAAAAAAAAACUAUAAACAUAUAAAUUUAAAUUAAGAAAAACUAACAUUGGAAAAAUAAGAAAUUAAUGUAAAAGAAAAAAACCGACAAAUAAUAUUAUAAAUAAAAUAAAAUUUAUAAGACACAAAUAAAAACCGACAAAUAAUAUUAAAAAAAUCUCUAGUCUAUAAUAUAAUAGGAGAGUUUCUCUACUCCUGAGCCGUCACGUCAGCAUUUUGGUGGAUUCCACUUUUAAAAAGUGUGAAAAAGUGUCAAGUAUGUGACUCGAACCCGGAUUAUUGAGAUAUAAGCUACAACAUUUAUACCACUGAACUAAAGGAUACUUUGUACAUUGAUGGCCGAAACUAAUAUAUAUUUAUGAAGGUCGGAAACCUUUGCUUCUUCAGUUUUCUCUGUGGGCCGGACCUACAAAUGUAUUAUGAGUUUCAUCACGUUAUAUGAAAAAAAAACAAUUAUAGUUUUUCCAUAUUGUAAACUGUCUUCGUUUAACAUGAGUUGGGGUUCUUUUCAUUAUUUAUGCGUUCUAAUAACAGUUUUACGCCUUCAGCAAGUUGUGGG